GACGAACGCUGGCGGCGUGCUUAACACAUGCAAGUCGAACGAUGAACCAGGGCUUGCCCUGGGGAUUAGUGGCGAACGGGUGAGUAACACGUGGGCAACCUGCCCCAGACACCGGGAUAACCUCUCGAAAGGGUGGCUAAUACCGGAUAUGACCACUUCGGGCAUCCGACGGUGGUGGAAAGGAUUCUGGUCUGGGAUGGGCCCGCGGCCUAUCAGCUAGUUGGUGGGGUAAUGGCCUACCAAGGCGACGACGGGUAGCCGGCCUGAGAGGGCGACCGGCCACACUGGGACUGAGACACGGCCCAGACUCCUACGGGAGGCAGCAGUGGGGAAUAUUGCGCAAUGGGCGAAAGCCUGACGCAGCGACGCCGCGUGAGGGACGAAGGGUCUUCGGAUUGUAAACCUCUUUCAGCAGGGACGAAGCGAAAGUGACUGUACCUGCAGAAGAAGCACCGGCUAACUACGUGCCAGCAGCCGCGGUAAU
rnacentral:rRNA from 1 species